CUCUCUGUAGCUCAGUUGGUCAGAGUGCUGCACCGGAAUCGCAGGGUCGCAGGUUCGAUUCCUGCUAGAGAGC
rnacentral:tRNA from 1 species